rnacentral:rRNA from 1 species
GAUAAACGCUGGCGGCGUGCCUUAGGCAUGCAAGUCGAACGGGAAUAGUAAUAUUCAAGUGGCAGACGGGUGAGUAACGCGUAGGAAUCUACCUCUAGGGUAGUAGCAUAGCCGGCCGAAAGAGUCGGGUAAUUCACUAUAGUUCCCGCAAGAGGUAAAGGACUUAACGGUCCGCCGAGAGAGGAGCCUAGCGUCCCAUCAGCUAGUUGGUAAGAGUAAAAGCUUACCAAGGCGAUGACGGGUAGCUGGACUGAGAGGUCGAUCAGCCACAAUUGCACUUAGACACGGGCAAUACACCUACGGGUGGCAGCAACCAGGAAUAUUGCGCAAUAGGACGAAAGUCUGACGCAGCGACGCCGCGUGGAGGAUGAAGGCCCUCGGGUUGUAAACUCCUUUUGCCAAGCCUUUCACAGCUUGGAGAAUAAGCCUCUACUAACUACGUGCCAGAAGUCUCGGUAAUACGUAGGAGGCUAGCGUUAUCCGGAUUUAUUGGGCGUAAAGUGUGCGUAGGCGUUCCGUAAAGUCUUCACUUAAAGACCAAGGCUUACCCUUGGGAGUGGUGGGGAUACUCACGGAACUGAGGAUUGAUCGGGGAGCUGGAACAGUUAGUGUAGCAGUGAAAUGCGUUGAUAUUAACUGGAACACCAAGGGCGAAGGCAGGCUCCUGGGUUUUUCCUGACGCUGAGGCACGAAAGCUAGGGUAGCGAAACAGAUUAGAUACCUGUGUAGUCCUAGCCGUAAACGAUGUCCGCUAACUUUUGCCGACUUGUCGGCAGAGGUUCAAGCUAACGCAUUAAGCGGACCGCCUGGGGAGUACGGCCGCAAGGCUAAAACUCAAAGGAAUUGACGGGGACCCGCACAACUGGUGGAGCGUGUGGCUUAAUUUGAGACGAAGCAAAAAACCUUACCAAGGUUUGACAUGCUACCGUUUUAUGCCUAUGGAAACACUGGCAGAUCCGCAAGGAUGGUAGCACAGGUGCUGCAUGGCUGUCGUCAGCUCGUGUCGUGAGAUGUUCCCUUAAGUGGGGAAACGAGCGCAACCCCCGUGAAAUGUUACAUAUUCAUUUCAGACGGUCCCGAUCAUAUCGGGAAGGAAGGAGGGGAAGACGUCAAGUCAGCAUGGUCCUUACACCUUGGGAUACACACACCCUACAAUGGCGAAGAACAAUGAGCUGCAAGCUAGCAAUAGCAAGCUAAUCUCAGAAAUUUCGCCUCAGUUCAGAUUGGGGGCUGCAACUCGCCCCCAUGAAGUCGGAAUCAGUAGUAAUCGCGGAUCAGAAGGCCGCGGUGAAUACGUUCUCGGGUCUUGUACACACCGCCCGUCAAGGCAGCAAAGUCGGGAGUGGAUGAAGGCUACCGUGAGGUGGACGAGUCCAAGCUUGGCGAUGAAGCUUAAGUCGUAACAAGGUAUCCCUAGCCGAAGCUGGGG